rnacentral:rRNA from 1 species
AUUGAACGCUGGCGGCAGGCCUAACACAUGCAAGUCGAGCGGAGCGGCGGAAGGGUGAGUAAUGACUAGGAAUCUGCCUGGUAGUGGGGGAUAACGUCAGGAAACGGGCGCUAAUACAGCAUAAUAACAGAUGAGCCUAGGUCGGAUUAGCUAGUUGGUGGGGUAAAGGCCUACCAAGGCGACGAUCCGUAAAUGGUCUGAGCGGAUGAUCAGUCACACUGGAACUGAGACACGGUCCAUACUCCUACGGGAGGCAGCAGUGGGGAAUAUUGGACAAUGGGCGAAAGCCUGAUCCAGCCAUGCCGCGUGAGUGAAGAAGGUCUUCGGAUUGUAAAGCACUUUAAGUUGGGAGGCGUUACCAACAGAAUAAGCACCGGCUAACUUCGUGCCAGCAGCCGCGGUAAUUC